rnacentral:rRNA from 1 species
AUUGAACGCUGGCGGCAGGCCUAACACAUGCAAGUCGAACGGUAACAGGGAGCAUCGUGCUGCUUUGCUGACGAGUGGCGGACGGGUGAGCAAUGUCUGGGAAACUGCCUGAUGGGGGGGGACCACUACUGGAAACGGUAGCUAAUACCGCAUAAUUUGGCAAGACCAAAGAGGUGGAUCUCCGGGUCUCUUGCCAUAGGAUGUGGCCAGAUGGGAUUAGGUAGUAGGUGGGGUAAAGGCUCACCUAGGCGACGAUCCGUAGCUGGUCUGAGAGGAUGACCAGCCACACUGGAACUGAGACACGGUCCAGACUCCUACGGGAGGCAGCAGUGGGGAAUAUUGGACAAUGGGCGAAAGCCUGAUGCAGCCAUGCCGCGUGUGUGAAGAAGGCCUUCGGGUUGUAAAGUACUUUCAGCGGGGAGGAAGGGAGUAAAGUUAAUACCUUGGCACAUUGACGUUACCCGCAGAAGAAGCACCGGCUAACUCCGUG